rnacentral:rRNA from 1 species
CGGGGCUAACACCCAAGGUCUUAAAGGUAGAGAGAAGCUUGCUCUGCUCUAUGAGCAUGCGGCGCGACGGGUGAGCUAAUAGCCUGAGGAACUCUGCCUGGUACGAUAGGGGGAUAACUGUUCGGGAAGAGCGGACUGCUAAUACCAGCGACUACAGUCGCGUACGCGGAGUAAGAGCAGGGNGACCUUUCGGGCCUUGCGCUAUCAGAUGAGCCUANGUCGGAUUAUGCUAGCUUAGGUGAGGUAAGUGGCUCACCAAUGGCGACGAUCCUGUAACUGGUCUGAGCAGGAUGAUCAGUCACACUGGAACUGAGACACGGUCCAGACUCCUACGGGAGGCAGCAGUGGGGAAUAUUGGACAAUGGGCGAAAGCCUGAUCCAGCCAUGCCGCGUGUGUGAAGAAGGUCUUCGGAUUGUAAAGCACUUUAAGUUGGGAGGAAGGGCAGUUACCUAAUACGUGAUUGUUUUGACGUUACCGACAGAAUAAGCACCGGCUAACUCUGUGCCAGCAGCCGCGGUAAUACAGAGGGUGCAAGCGUUAAUCGGAAUUACUGGGCGUAAAGCGCGCGUAGGUGGUUUGUUAAGUUGGAUGUGAAAUCCCCGGGCUCAACCUGGGAACUGCUUUCAAAACUGACUGACUAGAGUAUGGUANAGGGUGGUGGAAUUUCCUGUGUNGCGGUGAAAAUGCGUAAUUUUGGAAGGNACNCCCAGUGGGCGAAGNGACCACCUGGACUNUUCUGGCCUUGGGUGNCGAAGCUUGGG